rnacentral:rRNA from 1 species
UACAGAGGUCUCAAGCGUUGUUCGGAUUCAUUGGGCGUAAAGCGCGCGUAGGUGGCCUCGUAAGUCCGCUGUGAAAGUCAAAGGCUCAACCUUUGAAAGCCGGUGGAUACUGUGGGGCUAGAGUACGGAAGAGGCGAGUGGAAUUCCUGGUGUAGCGGUGGAAUGCGCAGAUAUCAGGAGGAACACCAAUAGCGAAGGCAGCUCGCUGGGACGUAACUGACAUUGAGGCGCGAAAGCGUGGGGAGCGAACAGG